rnacentral:rRNA from 1 species
UAGGGAAUCUUCGGCAAUGGACGAAAGUCUGACCGAGCAACGCCGCGUGAGUGAAGAAGGUUUUCGGAUCGUAAAACUCUGUUGUUAGAGAAGAACAAGGACGUUAGUAACUGAACGUCCCCUGACGGUAUCUAACCAGAAAGCCAAGGCUAACUACGUGCCAGCAGCCGCGGUAAUACGUAGGUGGCAAGCGUUGUCCGGAUUUAUUGGGCGUAAAGCGAGCGCAGGCGGUUUCUUAAGUCUGAUGUGAAAGCCCCCGGCUCAACCGGGGAGGGUCAUUGGAAACUGGGAGACUUGAGUGCAGAAGAGGAGAGUGGAAUUCCAUGUGUAGCGGUGAAAUGCGUAGAUAUAUGGAGGAACACCAGUGGCGAAGGCGGCUCUCUGGUCUGUAACUGACGCUGAGGCUCGAAAGCGUGGGGAGCAAACAGG